AAAUUAAAAAAAAAAAUAUCGGUUCACUUUGGAAGUGUCUCUCGCGCAAACUAUUCAGUUUAGAAGAAAAUGAUAUUAGAAACCUCAAUAUCAUUUUUGAAGACCUAUCCAUAAAUACCCCACACGUAUGGGAUUGAUGAAAAAAAAAAUUUGAGGGAUUUAUGACGUAUUAAAAAAAAACUACUCACUAGAUCUCGUUCAAACCAAUUUUCGGUCUAAGUUUGCAUGGUAUUGUACAUCAUAUAUUUUUUUUUUAGUUUUAUCACUCUCUUAUUUUAAAAGUUACAGGGGGG